rnacentral:rRNA from 1 species
AGAUUGAACGCUGGCGGCGUGCCUAACACAUGCAAGUCGAGCGGUAACAGGUGUAGCAAUACAUGCUGACGAGCGGCGAACGGGUGAGUAAUGCUUUGGAAUCUUCCCAGUAGUGGGGAAUAACCAGUCGAAAGAUUGGCUAAUACCGCAUACGUCUGUAAAGGGAAAGCGGGGGCUCGUAAGACCUCGCGCUAUUGGAUGAGCCAAAGUCGGAUUAGCUAGUUGGUGGGGUAAUGGUUCACCAGGGCGACGAUCGGUAGCUGGUCUGAGAGGACGAUCAGCCACACUGGGAUUGAGAACGGCCCAGACUCCUACGGGGGGCAGCAGUGAGGAAUUUUCGUCAAUGGGGCAACCCUGAACGAGCAACGCCGCGUGCAGGAAGAAGGUUUUCGGAUCGUAAACUGCUUUUCUCGGGGAAGAGAAUGGACGGUACCCGAGGAAUCGAGCCCCGGCUAACUACGUGCCAGCAGCCGC